rnacentral:ncRNA from 2 species
CUAUAUUGUAGAGGAGCGCUGGUCAAAAGUAGUGCAGAGUGGGGUGAUUCCAAUGAUUCUGUAUGAAAGGGGCCCGCGCCGAAGUAACUAGCAUUAUCAAGGCUAAUUACUGGUGUCGGAUUUAAUAGAUACGACACUGUCAUAGUCCAACUAUGGAGAGCUACAGAGUGA